GUCCCUUGUGCGACUUCCGUCCGUCGGUCCGCUUCGCCCUGCGAUCCCCUUCCGCUCGCGACCGCGUUUCUCCCCAGCGACAUCUCCCCCAAUCACGCCGCAGAUCGCACCCUCUCUCUUCCCCCAGCCCCUUCGUUCUUCUCCCUAGCGACAUCUCCCCCAAUCACGCCGUCGCAGAUCGCACCCUCUUCCUUCCCCCAGCCCCUUCGUUCUUCUCCCCUGCGACCAUCUCCACCGCGACCAUCUCCCCCGUGUCCCUGGCAGAUCGCGCGUCUCUCCCUGCGUUUGCUGUAGGUGCGCUUCCCCGUCACACCUCACGCCUCGGCACAACAAGGCCAGGAAGGCCGCCGCCUCCUUUGUCGUGGCCUUCGCCACCACUGGCACCAGCGACUCGUGUUGCUUCCACAGCAUCACCGUCAUCCUCGAAGUCGCGCGCCCGUGCCAUCAACGUCGCACACACUGCGACCGCCCUCGCCCGUGGCAUAUGAUAGAAGCAACGUAGAGGCAAGACAAGCAAUGGACGCACACAAGGUGCAAAAUAAGAGUUCAUGAGAAUUGAUCAAUCUCUGCAUCAAGAGAGAAGAGAGAGGCUCUUCCUAGGAAUUCUUGUGUAGUAAUUCGAAAUUGCUAUCGUCCUACAAGGUUGAGGGCCAUGGCAAAGGCGUCCCCAACGUUGCAGUGCAGUAUCCCCUUCACCGCUCCUCUCAGUCUCAGUUGUCGGAUUCCAAGUUUGGAGUUGCCGAGUUGGGUAAUAUAGUGACAACAGAUUUCAAACAUGGUUGGUAGUUUAGUGACUACUGGCUGUAUGGAUGGUUGAAUCAAACUGUCUUUUUCUGAUGGUGUGCUGAUUCUACCUGCAAUAAGGGUCCAAAUUUUUUGCAUUGAAGUCUGGUCCUAUUUUGAUCCAUAGGAGAAGAAGCUUCAGCUCAGCCCCCCUUGCACUAGAAGUAGAACCAUUCCUAAGGUUCUUGCUGCAGAUAGUAUGUUUCAUAGUUUUAGACUAUGACAAAAAGGCUUGCAUCAUUUUCUGGCUUGUGCUGCUUACGGACGGCUACGUAUCGCUAUCUGUUAGUCAGGUGAUCCGACAGACUCAACUGUUUUGAGAAACUUGUGUGUGGGAUUAAGGCAUUCUCUAUUGGAGAACAAAGCUACCAUACGUGGAAUCAGCAGGGUUCAGGUAGGUUACCAAAUAAUUAUUUCUUUCAGCUACCCAGUCUUAUCUGACAUAUAUAGUCAUUGCAGUCUUAAAUCAACUAUAAAUUUGUUGAAUCACCAAAAGAGACAUCUACCCAGUAGAAGGCUUCAUGAGAUUUAUGGAACUUUCAAUUGGUUCUAUGUCUUCUAUGUCCACUUGUUUGAAUUUAUUAGUUGUAGUGAUAAAGACAAGGUAACAAUUUAAUACAGUAUAAUCCUUGCCCUUGGUCUACUGUUUGUGAUUCGUUGUGUGUCAAUUACCACCUCCAGUUGAGGCCUUAGGGAUUAGGGCAAAUCGCUGGUAAUCAUGUUUCUUGUGUGUUGUUUUGUUGCGUGGUUUUCUGCCAAGGUCAUGGAGGUAACAGGUAUGCCUUCAGCUGGAACUUGUGAGGUACCCCACUGACCUCCUCUGUUUCUUGGUUAAUGUCCAAUUUUUGUUGCUAUUACACUGACUAACUGGAUUGAUUGGCUUAUGUCUUGUGCCUGGAUUAUCGGCCAAUAUCAUUCCUUUCUCUUGCUUGCCUAUCAUCUCCUAUCCUGAAAGGUCACAUACUCACAACUUCGUUUCAUACUUACAAUGAUCAUGAUCAACUAUACUGUUUUUAUAGGGGCAACUUGCACGGUUCUGCUCAAGCUUUGUUUUUUGUUGCUCAUCAGCCGACUGUUUCAUUGCUGCUGCCAUAUGCUUCACGAGGAGCCUGAUGCUGCACCCAUGAACACAUCCAAUUUUGGAUAGCUAAUUUAUUUCAAUAAAAUAGAUAAUAUUGUAGUUUUCUGGAGAGCUCUAGCUUGAAUAAACUGGUCAUGAUGAGAGGAUCAGAUAGAGACUUGGUAGGCUGCUCUCUAAAAUGCAUUAUGCAGUCACUGAAAACUUUGUUCCUUAAAUACUAUAUUGUGGUACCCAUAUGAUUCACAUGAGUUUGCAAAUAACUGUAUUUAUUUAAGUGAUAGGAAACAAUCAUUUUUAACGAAGUUGAUCAACUAUGAACUUAGCUGUAUCACAAAAAUGUCUAUAUAGUAGAGUUGGUGAGCCUAUGAUGCCAAACUCUUCAUAGUUGUGUUAAUUUUAUGAACUUUGCUUUUUGAUUAAAUGCCAUUUUAAUAUUGGUAUUUAAUUUUAGAGUAUUGUUUUCUUAUCAUGCGAUCCAUGUGUUUUUAGAUUCGUGGAACUGAUGUAUAGAUUAUUCAAAAUGAAAUAGUGCAUUGUCCAUAUAUAUCUUAUAUAAACCAUUUAUGCCGAAUCUGUGUUUUUGUAGCUUGGAGUCUUAUUCGAACUGUAAGAAGAAGGCUAGGAUUUCUUGGGGUUACUAGAUCAAGAACACCUUGUACUAUCAACUUGCCAUCCCAAACAUGCUCGCAAGGCUGCAGUCCUAUCAUUUGAUCUGUGCCGCUCUGCACAGCCGAUCUUGGUACAUUUUUUGUUGGGAAAUAGUUAUGUUUGGUCCUCGUGCAUGUAGAUGUAUAGUCUGUGACCUAAUUUUUUAUCCAAUUUCCAUUUUGAUGUGCUGUAAUCAGAAGAGGAUUUGCUUACUAUAUUUUGUAUGUCACAAAAUUGUGAUAGCUUACUAUAUUCUGUGUUAUGUCAGCCAUUAAAAUUGCAACAGAAAA